CUCAUGCAAGAAGAAACAAACAAAGAGAUGAUAUGAGUUUUGAAAGCUCAUCUUCACCUUUAAAAACCCCCAAAAGCUUUCUGCAAUGACAGAAACAGAGAUUUGAAGCUGAAGAAGAUAAAGAGAAAGAAAGAAGAAUGAGUUCUCGGGAUCGAAAGAAAGCUGCCCUCUAUAGAAAGAUACAACGACUUCGUUCUGUCACCAACUCCAGUGCCGUAAAUAAGACCUCAAUCAUAGUAGAUGCAUCCAAGUAUAUAGAGGAGCUGAAGGGAAAAGUAGAGAGGCUAAGCCAAGAUGUUGCAAGUUCACAAAGUUCAAAUGGACAAAACUCAUUGCCAAUGCAAGUUACUGUAGAAACCCUAGAAAAGGGUUUCCUAAUUAAUGUGUUUUCGGAAAAAAAUUGUCCCGGGUUGCUUGUGACCAUACUGCAAGCCUUUGAAGAGCUGGGCCUCGACGUGCUUGAUGCUAAUGUUUCCUGUUCAGACAAUUUCCGUUUAGAAGCUGUUGGAGGAGAAAUACAUAUCCUGGUCGAUACACAUUGAGUAUUUACCUUUAUGAUAUAUACCACUCGGUAUACUAAGGAGAACGUAAAUCACAUUCAUAUAGAAUCAAGGACAGGAUGAUAAUAUAGAUGCUCAAGUGGUAAAACAAGCGGUGUUGCAAGCCAUCAGGAACUGGAGUGAGAGCAAUGAAUAAGAAUUAUAAUCUGUAUCAUUUCUUGUUUUCUUCUGUUACCUUCUCUUUCUCUCUUCCUCUUGUUUCUAUUUCUUUGUUGUUGACAACUAUGGUUAUCUAAUGAAGGGAAGCUUAAAGGUUUCUUUCUAGUUGUAAAAAUUAAGCAACCUCUAGAUUCAAAAGUAUAAAAAUAAAAAAUUUUGCACUAUAUGCUAAACA